UACGUAGGGUCCGAGCGUUGUCCGGAAUUACUGGGCGUAAAGAGCUCGUAGGUGGUUUGUCGCGUUGUUCGUGAAAACUCACAGCUCAACUGUGGGCGUGCGGGCGAUACGGGCAGACUAGAGUACUGCAGGGGAGACUGGAAUUCCUGGUGUAGCGGUGGAAUGCGCAGAUAUCAGGAGGAACACCGGUGGCGAAGGCGGGUCUCUGGGCAGUAACUGACGCUGAGGCGCGAAAGCGUGGGGAGCGAACAGG
rnacentral:rRNA from 1 species